rnacentral:tRNA from 1 species
CGGGGUAUGGCGCAGUCCGGCUAGCGUACCUGCUUUGGGAGCAGGGGGUCGCAGGUUCGAAUCCUGCUACCCCGA